GGUUAAGCGACUAAGCGUACACGGUGGAUGCCCUGGCAGUCAGAGGCGAUGAAGGACGUGCUAAUCUGCGAUAAGCGCCGGUAAGGUGAUAUGAACCGUUAUAACCGGCGAUUUCCGAAUGGGGAAACCCAGUGUGAUUCGUCACACUAUCAUUAACUGAAUCCAUAGGUUAAUGAGGCGAACCGGGGGAACUGAAACAUCUAAGUACCCCGAGGAAAAGAAAUCAACCGAGAUUCCCCCAGUAGCGGCGAGCGAACGGGGAGGAGCCCAGAGCCUGAAUCAGCAURUGUGUUAGUGGAAGCGUCUGGAAAGGCGCGCGAUACAGGGUGACAGCCCCGUACACAAAAGCGCAUGUGCUGUGAGCUCGAUGAGUAGGGCGGGACACGUGGUAUCCUGUCUGAAUAUGGGGGGACCAUCCUCCAAGGCUAAAUACUCCUGACUGACCGAUAGUGAACCAGUACCGUGAGGGAAAGGCGAAAAGAACCCCGGCGAGGGGAGUGAAAAAGAACCUGAAACCGUGUACGUACAAGCAGUGG
rnacentral:rRNA from 1 species